rnacentral:ncRNA from 2 species
AGUGAGUUUAGAGGCGCAAUAACCAUUAGUACAAAUUUUGAGGAGAAUGAGCUCCUGUGAUAAGUUUGAAAAGGGGGUAUUGCCGAAGCAACGAGUAACUCAUGUGCUUGUUGUUGGGGCUACAUUUAAUAAAUGUAGCACUGUCGUAUAGUUUUUUAAACUAUAUGGAGGGCUAUCUCACGC